CCUACGGGCUGCACCAGUGGGGAAUAUUGCACAAUGGGCGCAAGCCUGAUGCAGCCAUGCCGCGUGUAUGAAGAAGGCCUUCGGGUUGUAAAGUACUUUCAGUCGGGAGGAAGGUGGUGGGCUUAAUACGCUCAUCAAUUGACGUUACCGACAGAAGAAGCACCGGCUAACUCCGUGCCAGCAGCCGCGGUAAUACGGAGGGUGCAAGCGUUAAUCGGAAUUACUGGGCGUAAAGCGCACGCAGGCGGUUGAUUGAGUCAGAUGUGAAAUCCCCGGGCUUAACCCGGGAAUUGCAUCUGAUACUGGUCAGCUAGAGUCUUGUAGAGGGGGGUAGAGUGCCAUGUGUAGCGGUGAAAUGCGUAGAGAUGUGGAGGAAUACCGGUGGCGAAGGCGGCCCCCUGGACAAAGACUGACGCUCAGGUGCGAAAGCGUGGGGAGCAAACAGGAUUAGAUACCCGCGUAGUC
rnacentral:rRNA from 1 species